UACGAAGGGGGCUAGCGUUGUUCGGAAUUACUGGGCGUAAAGCGCGCGCAGGCGGCCAUUCAAGUCAGGGGUGAAAGCCCAGAGCUCAACUCUGGAACUGCCCUUGAAACUGUAUGGCUUGAGUAUGAGAGAGGUGAGUGGAAUUCCCAGUGUAGAGGUGAAAUUCGUAGAUAUUGGGAAGAACACCGGUGGCGAAGGCGGCUCACUGGCUCAUUACUGACGCUCAGGCGCGACAGCGUGGGGAGUCAAACAG
rnacentral:rRNA from 1 species